rnacentral:sRNA from 1 species
GUUGGGCAUUGUGGUGCACGCCUGUAAUCCCAGCCGCUUGGGAGGUUGAGGCAGGAGGAUUUUGAGUUUUUAAGCCAGCCUCUGCAACUUAGCAAGUCCUUAAGCAACUCAGUGAGACCCUGUCUCUA